UAGGGAAUCUUCCACAAUGGACGCAAGUCUGAUGGAGCAACGCCGCGUGAGUGAAGAAGGUUUUCGGACCGUAAAGCUCUGUUGUUGGUGAAGAAGGAUAGAGGUAGUAACUGGCCUUUAUUUGACGGUAAUCAACCAGAAAGUCACGGCUAACUACGUGCCAGCAGCCGCGGUAAUCGUAGGUGGCAAGCGUUGUCCGGAUUUAUUGGGCGUAAAGCGAGCGCAGGCGGAAGAAUAAGUCUGAUGUGAAAGCCCUCGGCUUAACCGAGGAAUUGCAUCGGAAACUGUUUUCUUGAGUGCAGAAGAGGAGAGUAGAACUCCAUGUGUAGCGGUGGAAUGCGUAGAUAUAUGGAAGAAUACCAGUGGCGAAGGCGGCUCUCUGGUCUGCAACUGACGCUGAGGCUCGAAAGCAUGGGUAGCGAACAGGAUUAGAUACCCUUGGUAGUCCAUGCCGUAAAC
rnacentral:rRNA from 1 species